AGUGAACGCUGGCGGUAGGCCUAACACAUGCAAGUCGAACGGCAGCACAGUAAGAGCUUGCUCUUACGGGUGGCGAGUGGCGGACGGGUGAGGAAUACAUCGGAAUCUACUUUUUCGUGGGGGAUAACGUAGGGAAACUUACGCUAAUACCGCAUACGACCUACGGGUGAAAGCAGGGGAUCUUCGGACCUUGCGCGAUUGAAUGAGCCGAUGUCGGAUGAGCUAGUUGGCGGGGUAAAGGCCCACCAAGGCGACGAUCCGUAGCUGGUCUGAGAGGAUGAUCAGCCACACUGGAACUGAGACACGGUCCAGACUCCUACGGGAGGCAGCAGUGGGGAAUAUUGGACAAUGGGCGCAAGCCUGAUCCAGCCAUACCGCGUGGGUGAAGAAGGCCUUCGGGUUGUAAAGCCCUUUUGUUGGGAAAGAAAAGCAGCAGGUUAAUACCCCGCUGUUCUGACGGUACCCAAAGAAUAGGCACCGGCUAACUUCGUG
rnacentral:rRNA from 1 species